UAAUAAGAAAUGCAGGAAACCAAGUACUUAUGUUUGUUUUUUUAGAGAGUUGAUGGUCGGUGAGAAUCAACAGAACAACUUAAGGAAAUCCAGUUUCAAAAUCUGCGUUUUUCGAAAGAAGAACCGGGUGACGUCGAUACUCGUCUUUCAAGUGCAGCUGCUAUGCUGAAUUUGGGUGGUACCGCGAAAUUCAACACCGUUUCGUCCCUAUU
rnacentral:ncRNA from 1 species